rnacentral:rRNA from 1 species
AACGAACGCUGGCGGCAGGCCUAACACAUGCAAGUCGAACGCUCGUAGCAAUACGAGAGUGGCAGACGGGUGAGUAACGCGUGGGAACCUUCCCAGUGGUACGGAAUAGCCCAGGGAAACUUGGGGUAAUACCGUAUACGCCCGAAAGGGGAAAGAUUUAUCGCCAUUGGAUGGGCCCGCGUCGGAUUAGCUAGUUGGUGAGGUAACGGCUCACCAAGGCGACGAUCCGUAGCUGGUCUGAGAGGAUGAUCAGCCACACUGGGACUGAGACACGGCCCAGACUCCUACGGGAGGCAGCAGUGGGGAAUAUUGGACAAUGGGCGCAAGCCUGACCCAGCCAUGCCGCGUGAGUGACGAAGGCCUUAGGGUUGUAAAGCUCUUUUGGCGGGGACGAUAAUGACGGUACCCGCAGAAUAAGCCCCGGCAAACUUCGUGCCAGCCGCCGCCGUAAGAC